AAAAUGUAAAAAAUUAAAAUUAAAUGUCUCUCUAUAUAAGCGGUGAUGAGGUGCUACAUAUUUACAAAGGGACUGUGGUUGUGUGGUUCAGUGCUUCUUGGAGUCUUUCGGCAUGUGUUUCCGGGUGACCAGUGUUUCUACUGCCAGUCUGUUGUUUAUAAGCUCUUAGUCCUUCUUUCUGGCGUCUCCUUUAAUGCAAGCAGAGUAACAACAGCUUUAGCCAAGGAAGGAUAUAGUAAUGAUAUAUGGAUAGAGUUGGACCAGACUAAAAUAAUAAAGCUGAUCAUGGCAGCAUCGCAGGCAUUUACCCAGGAGACUAUCGAAAUAGAUCGGAAG
rnacentral:lncRNA from 1 species